rnacentral:rRNA from 1 species
UAGGGAAUCUUCCACAAUGGACGCAAGUCUGAUGGAGCAACGCCGCGUGAGUGAAGAAGGGUUUCGGAUCGUAAAGCUCUGUUGUUGGUGAAGAAGGAUAGAGGCAGUAACUGGUCUUUAUUUGACGGUAAUCAACCAGAAAGUCACGGCUAACUACGUGCCAG